UUGGAGGGCAAGUCUGGUGCCAGCAGCCGCGGUAAUUCCAGCUCCAAUAGCGUAUAUUAAAGUUGUUGCAGUUAAAAAGCUCGUAGUUGAAUUUCGGGAUCAGAGUGUCGGUCGUGCCUCGGUACGCACUGGUAUUAUUGGUUCCUACCUUCUGAAGAACCGCGAUGUCAUUAAUUUGGUGUCGUGGGGAAUCAGGACUGUUACUUUGAAAAAUUAGAGUGUUUAAAGCAGGCUUACGCUUGAAUACAUUAGCAUGGAAUAAUGAAAUAGGACGUUUGAUUCUAUUUUGUUGGUUUCUAGGAUUGACGUAAUGAUUAAUAGGGAUAGUUGGGGGCAUUAGUAUUCAAUUGUCAGAGGUGAAAUUCUUGGAUUUAUUGAAGACUAACUACUGCGAAAGCAUUUGCCAAGGAUGUUUUCAUUAAUCAAGAACGAAAGUUAGGGGAUCGAAGACGAUCAGAUACCGUCGUAGUCUUAACCAUAAACUAUGCCGACUAGGGAUCGGAUGAUGUUAAUUUUUUAAUGACUCAUUCGGCGCCUUACGGGAAACCAAAGUGUUUGGGUUC
rnacentral:rRNA from 1 species